GUGUACAAGAGGCUACAUAUGCAAAGGAUCGGAGUCCGUCGGAAACAUUCGGAUCCCGUCUGCAAAGACACAAGACAAGCGAGAAGAUGAUGGGCUUGCACUCAUCUCAUCUGGAAACUACAACAGGUGAGUGUCCCGUGGUGGCCAUGCUGGAAGCAAGCAACCAUGAACCAGUGAAAGUCCCCUGAUGGCAUUUUUCUAAGCAAACAAUCACAAGCAAGUCAGGGUGGCGUUCCUGCGGCGGCCAUUUUGUGAGCCAGACGGGUAUGUAUUGUGUUGGGGUUUUUUUUGGGUGAAUAUUUGAACAUGUGCGUCGCUGUGAUGACGAUUUUUCCUGCCAUUCGUAGUUUCCACCAGAGGUCAUUUGACCAAAGAUGGCUUAAUACUUCCUUGGAUGUCUGAGCGACUAAGAAAAUGUAUUUAUUUUUGUGAAGUUAGUUGACAUUUAAACUAACCUUAUUUUCACUUUCAG